GCAUCUCGGCUGUGUCUGGAGGUCUCCGAGAGCGGUGUGCGCACUUCCGGACCUCAGGCUGGGCUCGCGGUGGUCAGCACCUUGGACCUGGCGGGUCCUGAGGCCCCCGCGGCAUCUGGGACUGGCUAUUCCCUCCGCCUGAGCGCCAAGCCUCGUCGGAGCCCACGGUCCGCAGGGGGCUUGGUGCGGUGGACCCAGUGACAGCCGUGGCCCUGGUCCCUGAACUCCGCUGGUGCAGCCCGGCCUCCCGUGGCUGAGG